GGAACGUGCCUUUCACUACGGAAUAGUCCCGGGAAACUGGGUUUAAUACCGUAUACGCCCUUCGGGGGAAAGAAUUUCGGUGAGAGAUCGGCCCGCGUCUGACUAGGUAGUUGGUGGGGUAAUGGCCUACCAAGCCGACGAUCAGUAGCUGGUUUGAGAGGAUGAUCAGCCACACUGGGACUGAGACACGGCCCAGACUCCUACGGGAGGCAGCAGUGAGGAAUCUUGGACAAUGGGGGCAACCCUGAUCCAGCCAUGCCGCGUGAACGAUGAAGGCCUUAGGGUUGUAAAGUUCUUUCAACGGUGAAGAUAAUGACGGUAGCCGUAGAAGAAACCCCGGCUAACUCCGUGCCAGCAGCCGCGGUAAUACGGAGGGGGUUAGCGUUGUUCGGAAUUACUGGGCGUAAAGCGCACGUAGGCGGACUAUUAAGUCAGGGGUGAAAUCCCGGGGCUCAACCCCGGAACUGCCUUUGAUACUGGUAGUCUAGAGUUCGAGAGAGGUGAGUGGAAUUCCGAGUGUAGAGGUGAAAUUCGUAGAUAUUCGGAGGAA
rnacentral:rRNA from 1 species